rnacentral:rRNA from 1 species
UACGUAGGUGGCAAGCGUUGUCCGGAUUUACUGGGCGUAAAGAGCGCGCAGGCGGUCGUUCAAGUCGCGUGUGAAAGCCCCCGGCUCAACUGGGGAGGGUCACGCGAUACUGAUCGACUGGAAGGCAGGAGAGGGUAGUGGAAUUCCCGGUGUAGCGGUGAAAUGCGCAGAUAUCGGGAAGAACACCCGUGGCGAAGGCGGCUCUCUGGGACGGUACCGACGCUGAGACGCGAAAGCGUGGGGAGCGAACAGG